CAUCUAAACAGGUUCCCAGUAACAGUCUGGCCCCCGAGAGCAGUCCUGCUGAGUACCUCGCAGGAGCUGGGCACCAUUCCAAGCACAUCCCACCGUUAACGCAUUUAGGCCUCACCACGGUCCUAUAAGAGAUUUUAGUUGUUAUGAUUAUAAAAGCAAAAGAAAGAAUGGUCACUGUGGGAAGAGUAGAAGAGGUGGGUGAGGAAAGGAAUGAGAAGAGCGAUGGCCCCAGGCUCGCCUGGUGAGCAGCAGGGUUAACAGAACCAAUUUUUGCCUUUUGGGAGGUGAGCUGGCCCCAGCUGGAAAUAGAUGGAAGACAGGGAGCUAGCUGGAAGCCAGCUGCAUGGAGACCUGAGACACUGCCCACAGAGAUCAGCUGUGCUGCAGAAUCGAGAUGAGGAUACUGCUGGAUUGAGUAGGAUUUCUCCAAGGCCACAGCGCUGGAUUGAGAGUCAUGGUAA